GAUGAACGCUGGCGGCGUGCCUAAUACAUGCAAGUCGAGCGAACAGACGAGGAGCUUGCUCCUCUGACGUUAGCGGCGGACGGGUGAGUAACACGUGGAUAACCUACCUAUAAGACUGGGAUAACUUAGGGAAACCGGAGCUAAUACCGGAUAAUAUAUUGAACCGCAUGGUUCAAUAGUGAAAGACGGUUUUGCUGUCACUUAUAGAUGGAUCCGCGCUGCAUUAGCUAGUUGGUAAGGUAACGGCUUACCAAGGCAACGAUGCGUAGCCGACCUGAGAGGGUGAUCGGCCACAUGGGAACUGAGACACGGUCCAGACUCCUACGGGAGGCAGCAGUAGGGAAUCUUCCGCAAUGGGCGAAAGCCUGACGGAGCAACGCCGCGUGAGUGAUGAAGGUCUUCGGAUCGUAAAACUCUGUUAUUAGGGAAGAACAAAUGUGUAAGUAACUAUGCACGUCUUGACGGUACCUAAUCAGAAAGCCACGGCUAACUACGUG
rnacentral:rRNA from 1 species